CGGCUCUCGUUAGAUCACCGAAGUCAAGCAUCAUUGGGCGGGGUCAGUACUUGGGUGGGUGAUCACCUGGGAAUAUCGCGUGCCGUU